rnacentral:lncRNA from 1 species
AAUAAGGACUGGGACAAAUCUAUCGAAAUAAGGUUUUCAAAACUCGAAAGCAAUCCAACAACCGGAUGGACUAGUUACCUAGCCAACCAAUCAAUCACAUGGUCGAAGGGAGGGUCUAAAUCUCAAUAAAUUGAAGGUGCAUGAAGAGGGCGUGAUAACCCGAGUACUAUAAACCGAAUCCGCUAUCCUAGCAACGAGGUGGUAAUAAUAAUAUGAACUGAAAAACAGCCUAAGGCGGAAAUUUGCUUCGUUAUUUCAUGGGGGUCUGAUUUGAUUACCAGGCCGAAAUGCUCCUUUAAUAGAGAAGGAGAGUGGCCGAAUUUGCUACUGAAAAUGCUAAAAAAUAGGGUUAGAAGAGAACCUUGCUAGGCAAGUCCUCUUCAUCCUUUAGGCUAGAGUCUUGACUAUGUCAAUUCUUGCUCCCAAGGAUCCCAAUCAGCCAAGGAACCUUCUAGGAAGGUGUCCUUGGGACUUCCUAUAAUAAUCCUAUCUACAAAACGGAAACCAAACACAAUGUAAGUUUGCAUCAACAAAGAAAACAGUAAUGUGCUUAGUGAGUCGUGCACCUUCGUGGUGGGUAGAGGACUCGAUCUCGGGCCUUGGACAUACUGAUAACAGCACCAUGAGUGAUUGAUGAGCUCCUUGUGCGACCGAAACUGAUCCGAAAUCCAAGUUUUUGAAGGAACCAUCAUUUUGGAAGCUAUGACAUCAACGUAGCGAGUCCACUUGUGGGCUUCGACUCCAAACUCGUUUCUCCUUGCUCCUAGUGGCCUUGUUGGUCUUAAGAUAGCCCAUUAAGCUCCUGGACCAAAGGUAGUACCGGCAAAGUCUUCUAAUUUUGGCCACGGUGCGACCGAAACUGAUUCGAAAUCCAAGUUUUUGAAAGAACCAUCAUUUCGGAAGCUCUAUCAUCAAUGUAGCGAGUCCACUUGUGGCUUCGACUCCAGACUCCUUUUUCCUUGCUCCCAGCCCCCUUUUUGGUUGUAAUAUAGCUGCUAUAGCCGUUUAAGCUCAUGGGUGAAAGCUAGUACGAGAAAAGUCUUCUCAUUUGGGCCAGGUUUGGACUUGGUGUAAUCCUCUUAUAUCGGUGGACCUGAUUUCAAGCAACUUUAGGCCUUCGAAUUAAAUUAGGCUCCAAUUGCACCCAUAGUCAGGAA